rnacentral:rRNA from 1 species
CAGCCGCCACGGUAACACGAAGGGUGCAAGCGUUGCUCGGAAUGACUGGGCGUAAAGGGCGCGUAGGCGGUUUGCCAAGUUAGAUGUGAAAUUCCCGGGCUUAACCUGGGGACUGCAUUUGAUACUGGCAGGCUUGAGUGUGGAUGAGGGUCGUGGAAUUCCCAGUGUAGAGGUGAAAUUCGUAGAUAUUGGGAAGAACACCGGUGGCGAAGGCGGCGACCUGGUCCAUAACUGACGCUGAGGCGCGAAAGCGUGGGGAGCAAACAGGAUUAGAUACCCCUGUAGUCCCUGUCUCUUAUAC